rnacentral:rRNA from 1 species
CAGUAGCCGCGGUAAUACGUAGGGUGCGAGCGUUAAUCGGAAUUACUGGGCGUAAAGCGUGCGCAGGCGGUCCGUUAAGACAGAUGUGAAAUCCCCGGGCUUAACCUGGGAACUGCAUUUGUGACUGACGGGCUAGAGUAUGGCAGAGGGGGGUAGAAUUCCACGUGUAGCAGUGAAAUGCGUAGAGAUGUGGAGGAAUACCGAUGGCGAAGGCAGCCCCCUGGGCCAAUACUGACGCUCAUGCACGAAAGCGUGGGGAGCAAACAGGAUUAGAUACCCGCGUAGUCCCUGUCUCUUAUAC